GGACUGCAGCUCAGUGGUAGAGCAUUUGCCUAACGUGCAUAAGGCCCUCGGUUCAAUCCUUGGCACCA
rnacentral:tRNA from 1 species